AAAGCACAGCCCCCUUUCCAAUUCUGUGGGGUCUGUGUCCCCCUCAGCUGCUGCUAAGAGCUGGAGAAGUGGAAUCCUAAGUUGAAACUCCAAUGUGGUUCUAGUACAGAAACUGGGCAUGCUCAGUA
rfam:Macropus eugenii Contig20563, whole genome shotgun sequence.